rnacentral:rRNA from 1 species
GUCUACGGCCAUACCACCCUGAACGCGCCCGAUCUCCUCUGAUCUCAGAAGCUAAGCAGGGUCGGGCCUGGUUAGUACUUGGAUGGGAGAAAUACUAACAGCAUUUCUUGUGAUAAGAAAAUCACUAUCAGUAUGUU